rnacentral:tRNA from 1 species
AAGGAAGUGGCAGAAAGGCAUGCAACUGAUUUGAAAUCAGAACAAGGAGGUUCAAAUCCUUCCUUCCUCG